UACGGGGGGGGCAAGCGUUGUUCGGAAUUACUGGGCGUAAAGGGUCUGUAGGUGGCUUGCUAAGUCAGACGUGAAAUCCCUCAGCUUAACUGGGGAACUGCGUCUGAGACUGGCGAGCUUGAGGGCAGGAGAGGAACGCGGAAUUCCAGGUGUAGCGGUGAAAUGCGUAGAUAUCUGGAGGAACACCGGUGGCGAAGGCGGCGUUCUGGACUGCAUCUGACACUGAAGCGCGAAAGCUAGGGGAGCGAACGGG
rnacentral:rRNA from 1 species